rnacentral:rRNA from 1 species
UACGUAGGGUCCGAGCGUUUGUCCGGAAUUAUUGGGCGUAAAGGGCUCGUAGGCGGUGCGUCACGUCGGGAGUGAAAACUCAGGGCUCAACCCUGAGCGUGCUUCCGAUACGGGCGGACUAGAGGUAUGCAGGGGGAGAACGGAAUUCCUGGUGUAGCGGUGGAAUGCGCAGAUAUCAGGAGGAACACCGGUGGCGAAGGCGGUCUCUGGGCAUUACCUGACGCUGAGGAGCGAAAGCAUGGGGAGCGAACAGG